rnacentral:rRNA from 1 species
UACGGGGGGGGUAAGCGUUGUUCGGAAUUACUGGGCGUAAAGGGCUCGUAGGCGGCCAACUAAGUCAUACGUGAAAUCCCUCAGCUUAACUGGGGAACUGCGUGUGAUACUGGAUGGCUUGGAUGUGGGAGAGGGAUGCGGAAUUCCAGGUGUAGCGGUGAAAUGCGUAGAUAUCGGGAGGAACACCAGUGGCGAAGGCGGCUGCCUGGGCCAGUUCUGACGCUGAGGCGCGAAAGCGUGGGGAGCAAACAGG